CGCGUAUGCAACCUACCUUCUACAGGGGAUAGUCAAUAGAAAUGUUGAAUAAUACCCCAUACGAUCAUUAAUCUGCAUGGAUUGAUGAAGAAAGUUCCGGCGGUAGAAGAUGGGCAUGCGUCCUAUUAGUUAGUUGGUAAGGUAACGGCUUACCAAGACAUCGAUAGGUAGGGGUCCUGAGAGGGAGAUCCCCCACACUGGUACUGAGACACGGACCAGACUCCUACGGGAGGCAGCAGUGAGGAAUAUUGGACAAUGGAGGCAACUCUGAUCCAGCCAUGCCGCGUGCAGGAAGACUGC
rnacentral:rRNA from 1 species